CCUACGGGUGGCAGCAGUGAGGAAUAUUGCGCAAUGGGGGAAACCCUGACGCAGCGACGCCGCGUGGAUGAUGAAGGCCUUCGGGUCGUAAAAUCCUGUCAGGUGGAAAGAAAUGUCUAUGUGCUAAUAUCAUGUAGACUUGACGGUACCACCGAAGGAAGCACCGGCUAACUCCGUGCCAGCAGCCGCGGUAAUACGGAGGGUGCAAGCGUUGUUCGGAAUUACUGGGCGUAAAGCGCGCGCAGGCGGUUUGCUAAGUCAGAUGUGAAAGCCCAUGGCGCAACCAUGGACGUGCAUUUGAAACUGGCAGACUUGAGUAGUGGAGGGGGUGGUGGAAUUCCCGGUGUAGAGGUGAAAUUCGUAGAUAUCGGGAGGAAUACCGGUGGCGAAGGCGACCACCUGGCCACAUACUGACGCUGAGGCGCGAAAGCGUGGGGAGCAAACAGGAUUAGAUACCCUAGUAGUCC
rnacentral:rRNA from 1 species